rnacentral:lncRNA from 1 species
CACCUGCUUCUGGGCCAGAGACAUCAUGUGCUUUUCAUUACCAUCAUUAGUCAUUGUCAGUACAUCUUGUUACAAGAGCAAAGCAUAAAAGAUCAAGACUGCUGGCCCCCCUGUAAUAAUGUAGUGUAUACUGAAGACUUUUAUGUAUUUUGCAUAGGUAUAGGACUGAGUGAAAUGCUUAGACAGUAUCUGAGAUGUUAGUUAUUUUUAGCUGUCCUAGUGUAGUUAUUUAGAAUUAAAACUUUCUUGUUGCUGUCACUGUGUUCUGCUAUCCUGCAGCUGUUCUGCAUCCCCUGUGAAGGCAGAGAGGGGCUGACAGUCACCAUGUUCUCCCAUUUGGUGGGCUGCAGUCAGGAAAAAGUGGAGCCUGCUCUACCUAAUGACCUACAAAACCCUCCCCUGUUCAUGACAAAAUCUAAACCUGUGCUUCAGUACUUCUGGUUGCAUGGCCAAGGAAGGUCCUCUUGGAGCUGUUCUUUUCCAUGUGUUGUGACUGCAUCACCAACAACUCCUCUCAAGUUCAAAAGAGCAAGAGUUUUGAUGUAGCAAGUAAGCGAAUAGAAAGGCAUUUCCACAGUCCAUCCAGUUUGAAAGAAACACUUUCCAGAUUCAGUGGAACACAUUCUGGCAGGUAAGAGGAAUUACUGGCAGUGGAUAAAUGUUCCUGGAGGCAUUUCUAGUGAGGUUGU